AUUGAACGCUGGCGGCAGGCCUAACACAUGCCAGUCGAGCGGAUGAAGGGAGCUUGCUCCUGGAUUCAGCGGCGGACGGGUGAGUAAUGCCUAGGAAUCUGCCUGGUAGUGGGGGAUAACGUCCGGAAACGGGCGCUAAUACCGCAUACGUCCUGAGGGAGAAAGUGGGGGAUCUUCGGACCUCACGCUAUCAGAUGAGCCUAGGUCGGAUUAGCUAGUUGGUGGGGUAAAGGCCUACCAAGGCGACGAUCCGUAACUGGUCUGAGAGGAUGAUCAGUCACACUGGAACUGAGACACGGUUCAGACUCCUACGGGAGGCAGCAGUGGGGAAUAUUGGACAAUGGGCGAAAGCCUGAUCCAGCCAUGCCGCGUGUGUGAAGAAGGUCUUCGGAUUGUAAAGCACUUUAAGUUGGGAGGAAGGGCAGUAAGUUAAUAUCUUGCUGUUUUGACGUUACCAACAGAAUAAGCACCGGCUAACUUCGUG
rnacentral:rRNA from 1 species